UGGGGAAUAUUGGACAAUGGGCGAAAGCCUGAUCCAGCCAUGCCGCGUGUGUGAAGAAGGUCUUCGGAUUGUAAAGCACUUUAAGUUGGGAGGAAGGGCAGUAAGCGAAUACCUUGCUGUUUUGACGUUACCGACAGAAUAAGCACCGGCUAACUCUGUGCCAGCAGCCGCGGUAAUACAGAGGGUGCAAGCGUUAAUCGGAAUUACUGGGCGUAAAGCGCGCGUAGGUGGUUCGUUAAGUUGAAUGUGAAAGCCCCGGGCUCAACCUGGGAAAUGCAUCCAAAACUGGCGGGCUAGAGUAGGGCAGAGGGUGGUGGAAUUUCCUGUGUAGCGGUGAAAUGCGUAGAUAUAGGAAGGAACACCAGUGGCGAAGGCGACCACCUGGGCUCAUACUGACACUGAGGUGCGAAAGCGUGGGGAGCAAACAGG
rnacentral:rRNA from 1 species